AGAGUUUGAUCAUGGCUCAGGAUGAACGCUGGCGGCGUGCUUAACACAUGCGAGUCGAACGAUGAAGCCCAGCUUGCUGGGUGGAUUAGUGGCGAACGGGUGAGUAACACGUGAGCAACCUGCCCCUGACUCUGGGAUAAGCGCUGGAAACGGCGUCUAAUACUGGAUAUGUCCCGUCACCGCAUGGUGUGCGGGUGGAAAGAUUUUUCGGUUGGGGAUGGGCUCGCGGCCUAUCAGCUUGUUGGUGAGGUAAUGGCUCACCAAGGCGUCGACGGGUAGCCGGCCUGAGAGGGUGACCGGCCACACUGGGACUGAGACACGGCCCAGACUCCUACGGGAGGCAGCAGUGGGGAAUAUUGCACAAUGGGCGGAAGCCUGAUGCAGCAACGCCGCGUGAGGGAUGACGGCCUUCGGGUUGUAAACCUCUUUUAGCAGGGAAGAAGCGAAAGUGACGGUACCUGCAGAAAAAGCACCGGCUAACUACGUGCCAGCAGCCGCGGCAAUACGUAGGGUGCAAGCGUUAUCCGGAAUUAUUGGGCGUAAAGAGCUCGUAGGCGGUCUGUCGCGUCUGCUGUGAAAUUCCGAGGCUCAACCUCGGGCUUGCAGUGGGUACGGGCAGACUAGAGUGCGGUAGGGGAGAUUGGAAUUCCUGGUGUAGCGGUGGAAUGCGCAGAUAUCAGGAGGAACACCGAUGGCGAAG
rnacentral:rRNA from 1 species